rnacentral:rRNA from 1 species
AUUGAACGCUGGCGGCAGGCCUAACACAUGCAAGUCGAACGAGUGGCGGACGGGUGAGUAAUGUCUGGGAAACUGCACGAUGGAGGGGGAUAACUACUGGAAACGGUAGCUAAUACCGCAUACCAUCAGAUGUGCCCAGAUGGGAUUAGCUUUUUGGUGGGGUAACGGCUCACCAAGGCGACGAUCCCUAGCUGGUCUGAGAGGAUGACCAGGCACAUAGGAACUGAGACACGUUGCAGACUCCUACGGUAGUCAGCAGUGGUGAAUAUUGGACAAUGGGCGAAAGCCUGAUGCAGCCAUGCCGCGUGUGUGAAGAAGGUCUUCGGGUUGUAAAGCACUUUAAGUGAGGAGGCGUUACUACCAGAAUAAGCACCGGCUAACUUCGUGCCAGCAGCCGCGGUAAUUC